rnacentral:rRNA from 1 species
AUUGAACGCUGGCGGCAGGCCUAACACAUGCAAGUCGAGCGAGCGGCGGACGGGUGAGCAAUGUAUGGGGACUGCCCGAUAGCGGGGGAUAACUACUGGAAACGGUGGCUAAUACCGCAUACUAUCGGAUAACCCAUAUGGGAUUAGCUAGUAGGUGGGGUAAAGGCUAACCUAGGCGACGUUCUCUAGCUGGUCUGAGAGGAUGAGCAGCCACACUGGGACGCAGUCACGGCCCCGACUCCUACGGAUGCAUCAGUGGGUAAUAUUGCACGUUGGGCGCAAGCCUGAUGCAGCCAUGCCCCGUGUAUGAAGAAGGCCUUAGUGUUGUAAAGUACUUUCAGCGGUGAGGCGUUUCUCUCAGAAGAAGCACCGGCUAACUCCGUGCCAGCAGCCGCGGUAAUUC